UGCUACAGGCUUAACACAUGCAAGUCGAGGGGCAGCAUGGUCUUAGCUUGCUAAGGCCGAUGGCGACCGGCGCACGGGUGAGUAACACGUAUCCAACCUGCCGUCUACUCUUGGACAGCCUUCUGAAAGGAAGAUUAAUACAAGAUGGCAUCAUGAGUCCGCAUGUUCACAUGAUUAAAGGUAUUCCGGUAGACGAUGGGGAUGCGUUCCAUUAGAUAGUAGGCGGGGUAACGGCCCACCUAGUCUUCGAUGGAUAGGGGUUCUGAGAGGAAGGUCCCCCACAUUGGAACUGAGACACGGUCCAAACUCCUACGGGAGGCAGCAGUGAGGAAUAUUGGUCAAUGGGCGAGAGCCUGAACCAGCCAAGUAGCGUGAAGGAUGACUGCCCUAUGGGUUGUAAACUUCUUUUAUAAAGGAAUAAAGUCGGGUAUGCAUACCCGUUUGCAUGUACUUUAUGAAUAAGGAUCGGCUAACUCCGUGCCAGCAGCCGCGGUAAUACGGAGGAUCCGAGCGUUAUCCGGAUUUAUUGGGUUUAAAGGGAGCGUAGAUGGAUGUUUAAGUCAGUUGUGAAAGUUUGCGGCUCAACCGUAAAAUUGCAGUUGAUACUGGAUAUCUUGAGUGCAGUUGAGGCAGGCGGAAUUCGUGGUGUAGCGGUGAAAUGCUUAGAUAUCACGAAGAACUCCGAUUGCGAAGGCAGCCUGCUAAGCUGCAACUGACAUUGAGGCUCGAAAGUGUGGGUAUCAAACAGGAUUAGAUACCCUGGUAGUCCACACGGUAAACGAUGAAUACUCGCUGUUUGCGAUAUACAGCAAGCGGCCAAGCGAAAGCGUUAAGUAUUCCACCUGGGGAGUACGCCGGCAACGGUGAAACUCAAAGGAAUUGACGGGGGCCCGCACAAGCGGAGGAACAUGUGGUUUAAUUCGAUGAUACGCGAGGAACCUUACCCGGGCUUAAAUUGCAGAUGAAUUACGGUGAAAGCCGUAAGCCGCAAGGCAUCUGUGAAGGUGCUGCAUGGUUGUCGUCAGCUCGUGCCGUGAGGUGUCGGCUUAAGUGCCAUAACGAGCGCAACCCUUGUUGUCAGUUACUAACAGGUUCUGCUGAGGACUCUGACAAGACUGCCAUCGUAAGAUGUGAGGAAGGUGGGGAUGACGUCAAAUCAGCACGGCCCUUACGUCCGGGGCUACACACGUGUUACAAUGGGGGGUACAGAGGGCCGCUACCACGCGAGUGGAUGCCAAUCCCAAAAACCUCUCUCAGUUCGGACUGGAGUCUGCAACCCGACUCCACGAAGCUGGAUUCGCUAGUAAUCGCGCAUCAGCCACGGCGCGGUGAAUACGUUCCCGGGCCUUGUACACACCGCCCGUCAAGCCAUGGGAGCCGGGGGUACCUGAAGUGCGUAACCGCGAGGAGCGCCCUAGGGUAAAACUGGUGACUGGGGCUAA
rnacentral:rRNA from 1 species